rnacentral:rRNA from 1 species
AGAGUUUGAUCCUGGCUCAGGAUGAACGCUAGCGGCAGGCUUAAUACAUGCAAGUCGUGGGGCAGCAUGGGGUAGCAAUACUCUGAUGGCGACCGGCAAACGGGUGAGGAACAUGUACGCAACCUUCCUUUAACUGGAGAAUAGCCCCUCGAAAGAGGGAUUAAUACUCCGUAGCAUAUUUUUAAGACAUCUUAUUAAUAUUAUAGCUCCGGCGGUUAAAGAUGGGCGUGCACCUGAUUAGAUAGUUGGCGGGGUAACGGCCCACCAAGUCUGCGAUCAGUAACUGGUGUGAGAGCACGACCAGUCACACGGGCACUGAGACACGGGUCCGACUCCUACGGGAGGCAGCAGUAAGGAAUAUUGGGUCAUGGACNGCAGUCUGAACCAGCCCAUGCCGCGUGGGAGGAUAAGGGCCCUCUGGGUUGUAAACUCCUUUAUUCUGGGAAGAAAUGUACUUUUUCUUGAGUACUUGACGGUACCAGAGGAAUAAGCACCGGCUAACUCCGUGCCAGCAGCCGCGGUAAUACGGAGGGUGCAAGCGUUAUCCGGAUUCACUGGGUUUAAAGGGUGCGUAGGUGGGCAGGUAAGUCAGUGGUGAAAUCUCCGGGCUUAACCCGGAAAUUGCCGUUGAUACUAUUUGUCUUGAAUAUUGUGGAGGUAAGCGGAAUAUGUCAUGUAGCGGUGAAAUGCUUAGAUAUGACAUAGAACACCAAUUGCGAAGGCAGCUUACUACACAAUGAUUGACGCUGAGGCACGAAAGCGUGGGGAUCAUACAGGAUUAGAUACCCUGGUAGUC